rnacentral:rRNA from 1 species
UGGGGAAUAUUGCACAAUGGAGGGAACUCUGAUGCAGCGACGCCGCGUGAGUGAUGAAGGACUUCGUUUCGUAAAACUCUGUUCUAUGGGAAGAAAAGGACUGUACCAUAGGAGAAAGCUCCGGCUAAAUACGUGCCAGCAGCCGCGGUAAUACGUAUGGAGCGAGCGUUGUCCGGAAUUAUUGGGCGUAAAGGGUGCGCAGGCGGCUUUACAAGUUGGAUGUGAAAUAUUGUGGCUCAACCACAAACGUGCAUCCAAAACUGCAAAGCUUGAGUUAAGGAGAGGUAAGUGGAAUUCCUGGUGUAGCGGUGGAAUGCGUAGAUAUCAGGAGGAAUACCGGGGGCGAAGGCGACUUACUGGACUUAAACUGACGCUCAGGCACGAAAGCGUGGGGAGCAAACAGG